CUCUACCAGGAAGUGAAUGUUUGACCUGUUUCAGGUGAUCAGUGUUGUGUGAGUUCUCACAUGGCUUGUUGUGAGAACAUGUUUUUUCUCAUUGGCCUCUUUCUGUCAGAUUUGCCUUCCAGUCCCAUCCUUAGGUGAGGUGAAGGAAGGGACCCCUGUCAGUUUGAACUGCUCUGCUGUCACUCCCUGUCCCGAACACCCCCCUGAGCUGACAUGGACUCUCGCAAAACAGUUCACAACUGAGAACCAACUGCAGGAGAAUCCAGACCAAACCAUAUCAGUUCUCUCCACGGUGACCUUCACUCCAUCAUAUCUUCAUCAUGAGAUGAACAUCACUUGUACUGCAGUCUACCCAGUAGGGACACGCAACAAGACAGCUGAACAUACCAUGAUGCUUAACGUUUCAUUCUCUCCUAAGGACACCUCGGCCUCCAUCAGUCCAGCUGAUCAAGUAUUAGUGGGCAGCUGUGUUAAUCUGACCUGCAGCAGUACAGCCAACCCUCCUGUGACAACCUUCAUCUGGUUCCAGAUCUGUGG